rnacentral:sRNA from 1 species
UACCUCUGUGUAUAGUUUUACCCUCAUGA